CAACAAACUCACACAGAUCACACAAGAAAAAGACACUUCAGGAACAACUCUAACAGUCUCGGUGUAGUUCGCUGAGUACUGAGAAACAGAAGCAGCAAACACAGAUCUCAGAACUGGAGGAGAGUGUGUCUCAUCUGAAAGAGAUGCUAGAAGAAGCCGCCCAGAGAGAGAGGAUACUGGUGGCCUUUCCUGAGCUCAAUCCACAAGCAGCACCACAGAGUAACAUAAACAUACACAUACAAAAGCACAUAGAAUGCUGCUUACUCAUGCAACUACAGUUGGGAAGCAGGUUCUUCUUCAGAACCAGUUACAUGAGCCAGUGGUUAUUUGCACUCUAUCCACAAAUAGUGUUAGAUACUGUUUGCACAAGUGUUAAUAGCAACAGUAGCAUCUUGUUUAUACAGGCAAAUAGUACUAGAUGUUACUCACACAAAGUUUAAAUACAAGUUUAUUAUUUGUACUAAAGGUAAAAUAUCUGAGCAGUGUGGUGGACAGAGUAGGUGAAAAUAUCCUUUGCAAACAGUGUAAACAGACACUUUUCAGCCAGUGUUUGCUGCAAUAGAGUUCAACUGUCAGGUCCUGGGAUGUAAAAAUCCAUUCAUUUUAUCUAUAGAGGAAUUGAUUGUUAAUGAUAACAUAUUAACCUUUAUAUACCUACUGUGGACUACAAGGUUGUCAGCUGCUGGUUUCUGUUGGUCUCCCAAAGCUCUUACAGGGUUUCUGUGGGUUUUAAAAAAAUCUGGCCCUUCCUCAAUUUAAGGCCUUAAAAAUGUUUUAAAUCAGAGGCGAAGUCUUAAAUUCAAAGUCAAGGCAUUAAAAUAGCCCCUAUGAUUUCCGCAAUGCUGACAACGUGAAUGGAAUCACGGAAUCCGGUCAUAAAAAUGGAAUUUACUUUUUAACAUGGAAUGUCAUAGAAUUUGUCAAAUUCUGGAUGAAUAGAUCAAAAGUAGCAAACCACACGUAAUUAAAUUGUGAUAUGGACUAUAGUGUCUAAAUAUUAAACCACACAAAUACUAUUUAAUUAAAUAUGAAUGCUGC
ensembl:lncRNA